UGCAGAAUCCCGUGAACCAUCGAGUCUUUGAACGCAAGUUGCGCCCCAAGCCUUCUGGCCGAGGGCACGUCUGCCUGGGUGUCACAAAUCGUCGUCCCCCCAACCUCUCGAGGAUAAGGGACGGAAGCUGGUCUCCCGUGUGUUACCGCACGCGGUUGGCCAAAAUCCGAGCAAAGGAUGCCAGGAGCGUCUCGACAUGCGGUGGUGAAUUCAAACCUCGUCAUACAGUCGUUCGUUCCGGUCCAAAAGCUCACGAUGACCCAAAGUCCUCAACGCGACCCCAGGUCAGGCGGGAUCACCCGCUGAGUUUAAGCAUAUCAAUAAGCGGAGGAAAAGAAACUAACAAGGAUUCCCUUAGUAACGGCGAGCGAACCGGGAAGAGCCCAGCUUGAAAAUCGAACGUCUUCGGCGUUCGA
rnacentral:rRNA from 1 species